CACACUCGGUAUUACUUACCACAGGCAUUGCAAUGGCUGCAUGGAAACGCAAAGGCUGGCCUGUUUACGUAUGGACAUUUGAUGCUGCAGAGAUGCCUGUGCCAAACUUAGAGAGACCAACAGAUACUACAGCAAAUGCAAGCAGUUUGAUCAACGUGGUUGACGUGGUCUGAGGCACUUCAGUGAAGAGUGGUCCUGCAGCCUGCACUGCACUAGCAGCGUAGUACUGAGCUGAACUAAACUGAACACUACUGGACCCCAGAUGAAUUUUCGAAAACAGAACACUUGCAAAGCGCUCCUUCACCCACCAUUUGGAAAAUCGGGCCACUCCUCCCUCUUGCUGCUGCCGAGGUACCGGCAGCAGCUGAAACAAGAGGCAGCCACAAUUUAAAAUUCCACUGCUGAUCCAACCAAUCGGUCUUUGAUGACAUCAACUGGAGUGUCUUCCACGAUGAGGAUGUCUCGAGUUCACAGAUGGGGUCACGAGUUUCAUCUGGAAGUGCAUCAAGGAUGUUGUCCCGCAGAAAUCGGUCAGGGUCUAUCCAAACCAGAAACCCUGGACCAACAGUUCCGUGCGAGCAGCACUUACUGCGCAACACAGAGCUUACAUUGCCAGUGACCAGCAGGAGCUCAAGAAAUGCAGCUACGAUCUGUGCAAAGCCAUCAAGGCAACAAUACAGGGACAAGAUUCAGACACAACUCUACACCAACAACACACAUCGCUUAUGGCAAGGUCUGCACACCAUCACAGACUUCAAAGCUAAAAGCAAUGGAGUCUCCAACAUCGCUGCUUCUCUCCCAGAUGAGCUAAAUCUUUUUACACUCAAUUCAAUUUUGCCAAUACUGAGCUCCUGAAAAGACGGUUAUCUCUGAGGCCGAAGUACGCAGGUGUUUCCAAUGAGUGGACAGUCACAAGGCUGCAGGUCCAGACGGCAUCCCAGGGUGAGUACUCAGGAUGUGCACAGCACAACUGGCAGGUAUGUUUAUAGAGCUUUUUAAUCUCUCCCUCUCCCAGUGUAGUGUGCCCUCUUGUUUCAAAUCAUCCACCUUUGUUCCUGUACUCAAAAAGACCAAGAUAGUAUGUCUGUAUAACUUGUGUCCUGUUGCAUUCACCUCAAUAAUGAGCAAAUGCUUUGUGAGGCUGGACAAGGACUACGUCUGCAGUGUGCUACCAUGCACACUGGACCACCUGUAAUUUGCCUACUGACACAACAGAUCGACAGAUGACGCAAUAGCCACAGCUCUACACACUGUCCUUACACAUCUGGAGAAGGUGGAUGCUUAUGUGAGAAUGCUGUUCUUGGACUACAGUUCAGCAUUCAACACCAUAAUUCCCUCCAGGCUCAACAAGAAGCUCAGAGACCUCGGCCUUCACCCUGCCCUGAAUAGCUGGAUCCUGGACUUCCUGUCAGAUCACCGGCAGGUGUAAGAGUGGGCUCCCUCACCCAUGCCCCUCUGACCCUCAACACAGGUGCCCCUCGGGGCUGUGUCCUAAACCCCCUCCUUUAUUCUCUGUAUACCCAUGACUGUGUCGCCACCCACAGCUCCAAUCUGCUAAUUAAAUUUGCUGAUGACAUUAUACUAAUUGGCCUAAUCUCAAAUAAUGAGGCUGCCUACAGAGAGGAAAUCAUCACCCUGACACAGUGGUGUCAAGAAAACAACCUCUCCCUCAAUGUCACAAAAACAAAGGGGCUGGUUGUGGAUUACAGGAGGAAUGGAGACAGACUAACCCCUAUUGACAUUAACGGAUCUGAGGUUGAGAGGGUGAACAGCUUUAAGUUCCUCAGCAUAAAUGUCACCGAGGACCUCAGGUGGUCUGUACACACUGGCUGUGUGGUGAAAAAGGCACAACGGCACCUCUUUCAUCUCAGAAAAGUUGAAGAAGUUUUGUAUGGACCCCAAAUUCUAAAAACUUUCUACAGGGACACAACUGAGAGCAUUCUGACUGGCUGCAUCACUGCCUGGUAUGGGAACUGUACUUCCCUCAAUCACAGGACUCUGCAGAGAGCAGUGCGGACAGCCCAGCGCAUCUGUAGAUGUGAACUUCCCACUAAUCCGGACAUUUACAAACACAAGUGUGUAAAAAGAGCCCCAAAGGAUUAUUGGGGACCCGAGUCACCCCAACCACAAACUCGUCCAAAUGCUACCAUCCGGGAAAUGGUACGGCAGCAUAAAAGCCAAGACCAACAGGCUCCAGGACAGCUUCUUCCACCAGGCCGUCAGACUGAUUAAUUCACACUGACACAACUGUAUUUCUUUGUUAUAUUGACUGUCCGGUUGUACAUACGAUUUAUUAUAGAUUACUAUAAAUUGCAUAUUGCACAUUGCACAUUUCGACAGAGAGGUAACAAAGUUAUUACUCCCUGUGUAUAUGAAGGAUGUAAGUAAUAAAAAGUCAGUUCAAUUCAGAGCUGUAUUCUGUAUACAUACUUUGAUAAUUAAUGUACUUUGAAUCUUUGAAACAAGCUAUUCAUCCCACCAAAUCCACACAGACUAGAAUGUAACCCUUGGUAUUGAUCACAUGUUUCAGCACUUUCAAAUACCAAUUCAGAUUCAGUAGACAAUAGACAGCAGGUGCAGGAGUAGGCCAUUCGGCCCUUCUAACCAGCAUCGCCAUUCACUGUGAUCGUGGCUGAUCAUACACAAUCAGUACUCCAUUCCUGCCCUCUCCCCAUAUUCCUUGACCCCAUUAUCUAUAAGAGCUCUAUCUAACUCUCUCUUGAAUGCAUCCAGAGACUUGGCCUCCACUGCCU